rnacentral:ribozyme from 11 species
AAAGUGGAAAAAAUAGUUCAGAUAGGCUAAUGCUACCUCUGCUCAUAUCAUUUGCAUUUUUCUUUCUUUCCCUUUUUUCUUUUUUUUUUCCUUCUUUUUCUAAGACUUCUCUGUGUG